CCCUUAGAUGUCCUGGGCCGCACGCGCGCUACACUGAUGCAUGCAACGAGUUUAUAACCUUGGCCUGAAAGGUCUGGGUAAUCUUUUGAACGUGCAUCGUGAUAGGGAUAGAUUAUUGCAAUUGUUAAUCUUGAACGAGGAAUUCCUAGUAAACGCGAGUCAUCAGCUCGCAUUGAUUACGUCCCUGCCCUUUAUACACACCGCCCGUCGCACCUACCGAUUGAAUGGUUCGGUGAAGAUCUCGGACUUCGAUAUUUAUUCUUUAUUGAGUUUAUAUUGUGGGAAGUUAUCUAAACCUCAUCAUUUAGAGGAAGGUGAAGUCGUAACA
rnacentral:rRNA from 1 species